rnacentral:lncRNA from 1 species
UAUAGGAGAGUAAAUUUACUUGACAAAUUUAAUAGUAUCAUUUUAUAUAACUUUCAGUAUUUUAAUUAUUUUAUGUUGAAGAUAUAAGAUUUUGCAUGUGUAGAUUUUAGUUGUAAACAACAGGUGUUGGUUUUAGUAUCAGUAGUUCUAGAGAGUAAUAAAUUGUAAUUAAUUGUUUAUUGACCACUACUUAAGACAUUAAGAAUUCUAAUAUAAAUAUGUUCUGUCUAAUUCAGCAUUUCUAUUUGGUAAUUAAAAGGUCAGAGGUUUGAUGCAAAAGUUAAAUUUAGAAUAUUAAGUCAUAGGCUAAAGGGUCAGUUAAUUUUAUUAUAGAGUUUAGUUUGAUAGUUUGGGAUCACUUUGAGAAUAGCAUUUGUCAUAUAAACAUCUAUUGCUGGAAUUUAAUAUUAUUGUGGAUCUGUCUUAUAUGAAAUAUGUCGUAUGUUUAAUAAACA